rnacentral:rRNA from 1 species
CCCUUAGAUGUUCUGGGCCGCACGCGCGCUACACUGAUGCAUUCAACGAGCCUAUCCUUGACCGACAGGUCCGGGUAAUCUUUGAAUCUGCAUCGUGACGGGGAUAGAUUAUUGCAAUUAUUAAUCUUCAACGAGGAAUGCCUAGUAGGCGCAAGUCAUCAGCUUGCGUCGAUUACGUCCCUGCCCUUUGUACAAACCGCCCGUCGCUCCUACCGAUUGGGUGUGCUGGUGAAAUGUUCGGAUCGGCCGUUUGUCGCGGUUUCCGCGUCAUGUGGCUGAGAAGUUCAUUAAACCCUCCCACCUAGAGGAAGGAGAAGUCGUAACA